AUAUCAAUAAGCGGAGGAAAAGAAACCAACAGGGAUUGCCCUAGUAACGGCGAGUGAAGCGGCAACAGCUCAAAUUUGAAAUCUGGCCCUCGGGUCCGAGUUGUAAUUUGUAGAGGAUGCUUUUGGCGCGGUGCCUUCCGAGUUCCCUGGAACGGGACGCCUUAGAGGGUGAGAGCCCCGUACGGUUGGACACCAAGCCUCUGUAAAGCUCCUUCGACGAGUCGAGUAGUUUGGGAAUGCUGCUCUAAAUGGGAGGUAAAUUUCUUCUAAAGCUAAAUAUUGGCCAGAGACCGAUAGCGCACAAGUAGAGUGAUCGAAAGAUGAAAAGCACUUUGAAAAGAGGGUUAAAUAGCACGUGAAAUUGUUGAAAGGGAAGCGUUUGCGACCAGACCUUUUCCUAGCGGAUCAACCGGUGUUCUCACCGGUGCACUUCGCUAGGUUUAGGCCAGCAUCGGUUUCUGUAGGGGGAUAAAAGCUCUGGGAACGUAGCUCCUCCGGGAGUGUUAUAGCCCUCUGCAUAAUACCCUUACGGGGACCGAGGACCGCGCUUCGGCAAGGAUGCUGGCGUAAUGGUCGUCAACGACCCGUCUUGAAACACGGACCAAGGAGUCGAACAUUUGUGCGAGUGUUUGGGUGUUAAACCCUCACGCGUAAUGAAAGUGAACGGAGGUGAGAGCCCUUACGGGUGCAUCAUCGACCGAUCCUGAUGUCUUCGGAUGGAUUUGAGUAAGAGCAUAACUGUUCGGACCCGAAAGAUGGUGAACUAUGCGUGGAUAGGGUGAAGCCAGAGGAAACUCUGGUGGAGGCUCGCAGCGGUUCUGACGUGCAAAUCGAUCGUCAAAUCUGCGCAUGGGGGCGAAAGACUUAUCGAACCAUCUAGUA
rnacentral:rRNA from 1 species